AUGGGUAGAAACAGCCACGUGGUCUGAUCUGUACAUAAAUUAAAACAGCCAUUGGUGAUGGGGGCGUGGGGAGGGAGACGACUCUGUGAUUUGGGAGUCAACAGGUAGUGCCUUGUCAGUAAGAAAAAAUUUUUGUGGACCUAUCACAAUCCCUAUCUAUCAAGCUGUUCAAAGCAUUAAUUACAGCUUUUGAAGCAAAGUGUUUGUAUGCUGGGUACCACAAAUUCCACAAAGUAUCAGAGGUGGGCUUUUCAGCUUUAAAAAAGAAAAUAGCUGCUUAGAUAAGCAUGUACGUGACUUUAGUCCUAGCGCUUGGGUUUGAGGACAGCCUAGUUUAUGUUAAUUAGAGUCCAGGCUGGCCAGGCCUUUAUAAAGAAAAGAUUAGCUAUUCAUUAAGUUUAUAUAAAACACAGUAUUUUCACAUGCCUGCUGCUACACAGUAUGACUUACCGUGUUUACGGGCAUGAUCCAAAUUAAAGAUUUUUGUUGUUACUGGUUUGUUUUUGGUUUUUUGAGACAAGGUUUCUCUGUAACAGAACCCUGGCUGACUGGGACUCCCUCUGUAGACCAGGCUGGCCUCAAACUCACAGAGCUCCAUCUGCCUCUGCCUCCCAAACGUUGGGAUUAAAGUCAUGCACCACCACCGCCCAACUCAAAUUAGUUUUAUUCUGCCAUCUCUAAGUUAAGCUUAUUUCUUAUACUGUACAUGCUGCAUGACAUGGUGCAUGGUGCUUUCAAAAGGUUAAAACAAAACUUUUCUAGAAAAUAAUUAAGUUAAAUGUAAAACAUCCUAUGAAACCUAAAUUGGCCAGAAGCACAUCUUACCCUUUUGAUGUGGCUUUAAACUGCCUUUCACCAAUGUUAGAGGAGCCCUCAGGUAUUAAACCCAUUUGACAAGCAUGAAAGUCAGGGGACUCAGAAAAGAGCGAGCUGUACCAACUGAAUGCAAAAUGGGGCAACCCUCUUCUUUCACUGUGUAAUUACAACCCAUUCACCUGACAUGGUGCGCAGCAGAGUGCUUGCCU
rnacentral:lncRNA from 1 species